GACGAACCGUGCGAACGUUAUUCGGAAUCACUGGGCUUAAAGCGCGUGUCGGCGGCCUGAUGCGUCCGAGGCUGAAAGCCCCCGGCUCAACCGGGGAACGGGCCCGGAAACGAUCAGGCUCGAGGGGGGUAGGGGGAGCCGGAACUUCCGGUGGAGCGGUGAAAUGCGUUGAGAUCGGAAGGAACGCCCGUGGCGAAAGCGGGCUCCUGGACCCCGCCUGACGCUCAGACGCGAAAGCCAGGGGAGCGAA
rnacentral:rRNA from 1 species